rnacentral:tRNA from 1 species
GAAGAUAUAGCUCAGUGGUAGAGCGCGUGCUUAACAUGCAUGAGGUCCUGGGUUCAAUCCUCCAUUCA